rnacentral:rRNA from 1 species
UUCGGUCCGCUGACGAGUGGCGAACGGGUGCGUAACACGUGGAUGACCUGUCUCGAGGCGGGGGAUAACGACUGGAAACAGUUGCUAAUACCGCAUGAGCUCUACGGAGGGAAGGCUUCGGCCACCUUGAGAGGGGUCCGCGUCGGAUUAGCUAGUUGGUGAGGGUAAUGGCCCACCAAGGCGACGAUCCGUAGCUGGUCCGAGAGGAUGAUCAGCCACACUGGGACUGAGACACGGCCCAGACUCCUACGGGAGGCAGCAGUGGGGAAUAUUGCGCAAUGGGGGAAACCCUGACGCAGCAAUACCGCGUGAGUGAAGAAGGCCUUCGGGUUGUAAAGCUCUUUUAGUGGGGAAGAUAGUGACGGUACCCACAGAAAAAACUCCGGCUAACUCCGUGCCAGCAGCCGCGGUAAUACGGAGGGAGUGAGCGUUGUUCGGAUUUACUGGGCGUAAAGAGCGCGUAGGUUGUUUAGUAAG